rnacentral:rRNA from 1 species
UAGAGUUUGAUCCUGGCUCACGGAUGAACGUUGGCUGUGUGCCUAAGGUAUGCAAGUCGAACGAUUCUUUAUGAGAUUUCUGAAACUUCGGUUGAUGAUUUUUCGCUUAGAAUAGUGGCAAACGGGUGAGUAAUAUGUGGAUAAUCUGCCUCAAAGCCGGGAACAGCUCGCCGAAAGGCGGGGUAAUACUCGAUAGUCUAUGUAUUCUUCGGAAUACUUAGUAAAGCUCAGGCACUUUGAGAUGAGUCCGCAUCCUAUCAGCUUGUUGGUGAGGUAAUAGCUCACCAAGGCUAAGACGGGUAGCUGGCGUGAGAGCGCGGUCAGCCACCUUGGAACUGAGACACGGUCCAGACUCCUACGGGAGGCAGCAAUUAGGAAUCUUGCGCAAUGGGGGCAACCCUGACGCAGCGACACAGCGUGGAGGAUGAAGGUCUUCGGAUUGUAAACUCCUUUUAUAUGGGACGAAUAGAUGACUGUACCAUAUGAAUAAGUACCUGCUAACUACGUGCCAGAAGCAUCGGUGAUGCGUAGGGUACAAACGUUAUCCGGAUUAAUUGGGCGUAUAGAGAAGCGUAGGCGUUUUUGUAAGUCUUGAGUUAAAGACCACGGCCUAACCGUGGGAGGGCUUUCGAUACUGCAAAAAUAGAGACAAGAAUGGGCGAAUGGAAUUCCCAGUGGAGCGGUAAAAUGCGUUGAUAUUGGGAGGAACAUCAGUGGCGAAGGCGAUUCGCUGGUCUUUGUCUGACGCUAAGGCUCGAAAGCGUGGGUAGCAAAACGGAUUAGAUACCCGUGUAGUCCACGCUGUAAACAAUGGAUGCUAGGUGUUUGGUACAACUAUCUAAUUCUUCGGAAUCGGAUAGAAGUAUUGAGUGCCGCAGCUAACGCGUUAAGCAUCCCGCCUGGGAAGUACGGCCGCAAGGCUAAAACUCAAAUGAAUUGGCGGGGACCCGCACAAGCGGAGGAGCGCGUGGUUUAAUUCGACGGCAAUCGAAGAACCUUACCAGGGUUUGAAAUGUAUCUGCAUACCUUAUGAAAAUAGGGUAGCCUUUGAGGGUGAUACACAGGUGCUGCAUGGCCGUCGUCAGCUCGUGUCGUGAGAUGUUGGGUUAAGUCCCGAAACGAGCGCAACCCCUAUCCUAUGUUACAAGUGUCUUAGGAAACUGCCUCGGUAAAACGAGGAGGAAGGUGGGGAUGACGUCUGGUCCGCAUAGCCCUUAUGUCCUGGGCGACACACGCGCUACAAUGGUCGAUACAAUGGGGAGCCAAAUCGUAAGAUGGAGCAAAUCCUAUAAAGUCGAUCUCAGUUCGGAUUGAGGUCUGAAACUCGACCUCAUGAAGUUGGAUUCGCUAGUAAUCGUGGAUCAGCCAUGCCACGGUGAAUACGUUCUCGGGUCUUGCACACACCGCCCGUCAAGCCAUGGGGGUAGGUGAUACCCGAAGGUGUUUUAUCCCUUGUGGAUAGAAUGACGAAGGUAACGCUUAUGACUGGGGUUAAGUCGUAACAAGGUAG